rnacentral:snoRNA from 1 species
ACGCUCCAGAUUAACUACCCUUCAAACCUAAAUAUUGGUCUGAGGGGCUAAAAAAAGGAAGAAAAGUAAAACUGAAGUGAACUUUGUGUCUUUGGUGACAUAUAUGUUCAUCUCAAACAUAU